CGAAGCGUGCGAUUGGAUUGCACGUCUAAGCAGUAAGGCUGAGUAUUAGGCAAAUCCGGUACUCGUUAAGGCUGAGCUGUGAUGGGGAGAAGACAUUGUGUCUUCGAGUCGUUGAUUUCACACUGCCGAGAAAAGCCUCUAGAUAGAAAAUAGGUGCCCGUACCGCAAACCGACACAGGUAGUCAAGAUGAGAAUUCUAAGGUGAGCGAGCGAACUCUCGUUAAGGAACUCGGCAAAAUGACCCCGUAACUUCGGGAGAAGGGGUGCUCUUUAGGGUUAACGCCCAGAAGAGCCGCAGUGAAUAGGCCCAAGCGACUGUUUAUCAAAAACACAGGUCUCUGCUAAACCGUAAGGUGAUGUAUAGGGGCUGACGCCUGCCCGGUGCUGGAAGGUUAAGAGGAGUGGUUAGCUUCUGCGAAGCUACGAAUCGAAGCCCCAGUAAACGGCGGCCGUAACUAUAACGGUCCUAAGGUAGCGAAAUUCCUUGUCGGGUAAGUUCCGACCCGCACGAAAGGCGUAACGAUUUGGGCACUGUCUCAACGAGAGACUCGGUGAAAUCAUAGUACCUGUGAAGAUGCAGGUUACCCGCGACAGGACGGAAAGACCCCGUGGAGCUUUACUGUAGCCUGAUAUUGAAAUUCGGCACAGCUUGUACAGGAUAGGUAGGAGCCUUUGAAACGUGAGCGCUAGCUUACGUGGAGGCGCUGGUGGGAUACUACCCUAGCUGUGUUGGCUUUCUAACCCGCACCACUUAUCGUGGUGGGAGACAGUGUCAGGCGGGCAGUUUGACUGGGGCGGUCGCCUCCUAAAAGGUAACGGAGGCGCUCAAAGGUUCCCUCAGAAUGGUUGGAAAUCAUUCAUAGAGUGUAAAGGCAUAAGGGAGCUUGACUGCGAGACCUACAAGUCGAGCAGGGUCGAAAGACGGACUUAGUGAUCCGGUGGUUCCGCAUGGAAGGGCCAUCGCUCAACGGAUAAAAGCUACCCCGGGGAUAACAGGCUUAUCUCCCCCAAGAGUUCACAUCGACGGGGAGGUUUGGCACCUCGAUGUCGGCUCAUCGCAUCCUGGGGCUGUAGUCGGUCCCAAGGGUUGGGCUGUUCGCCCAUUAAAGCGGU
rnacentral:rRNA from 1 species